GCGCAUGUGCUGUGAGCUCGAUGAGUAGGGCGGGACACGUGGUAUCCUGUCUGAAUAUGGGGGGACCAUCCUCCAAGGCUAAAUACUCCUGACUGACCGAUAGUGAACCAGUACCGUGAGGGAAAGGCGAAAAGAACCCCGGCGAGGGGAGUGAAAAAGAACCUGAAACCGUGUACGUACAAGCAGUGGGAGCACAGGUUUACCUGUGUGACUGCGUACCUUUUGUAUAAUGGGUCAGCGACUUAUAUUCUGUAGCAAGGUUAACCGAAUAGGGGAGCCGGAGGGAAACCGAGUCUUAACCGGGCGUUAAGUUGCAGGGUAUAGACCCGAAACCCGGUGAUCUAGCCAUGGGCAGGUUGAAGGUUGGGUAACACUAACUGGAGGACCGAACCGACUAAUGUUGAAAAAUUAGCGGAUGACCUGUGGCUGGGGGUGAAAGGCCAAUCAAACCGGGAGAUAGCUGGUUCUCCCCGAAAGCUAUUUAGGUAGCGCCUCGUGAAUUCAUCUCCGGGGGUAGAGCACUGUUUCGGCUAGGGGGCCAUCCCGGCUUACCAACCCGAUGCAAACUGCGAAUACCGGAGAAUGUUAUCACGGGAGACACACGGCGGGUGCUAACGUCCGUCGUGAAGAGGGAAACAACCCAGACCGCCAGCUAAGGUCCCAAAGUCAUGGUUAAGUGGGAAACGAUGUGGGAAGGCCCAGACAGCCAGGAUGUUGGCUUAGAAGCAGCCAUCAUUUAAAGAAAGCGUAAUAGCUCACUGGUCGAGUCGGCCUGCGCGGAAGAUGUAACGGGGCUAAACCAUGCACCGAAGCUGCGGCAGCGACACUGUGUGUUGUUGGGUAGGGGAGCGUUCUGUAAGCCUGUGAAGGUGUGUCGUGAGGCAUGCUGGAGGUAUCAGAAGUGCGAAUGCUGACAUAAGUAACGAUAAAGCGGGUGAAAAGCCCGCUCGCCGGAAGACCAAGGGUUCCUGUCCAACGUUAAUCGGGGCAGGGUGAGUCGACCCCUAAGGCGAGGCCGAAAGGCGUAGUCGAUGGGAAACGGGUUAAUAUUCCCGUACUUGGUGUUACUGCGAAGGGGGGACGGAGAAGGCUAUGUUGGCCGGGCGACGGUUGUCCCGGUUUAAGCGUGUAGGUGUGUGUUCCAGGUAAAUCCGGUUCACUUUAACACUGAGGCGUGAUGACGAGGCACUACGGUGCUGAAGCAACAAAUGCCCUGCUUCCAGGAAAAGCCUCUAAGCAUCAGGUAACAUCAAAUCGUACCCCAAACCGACACAGGUGGUCAGGUAGAGAAUACCAAGGCGCUUGAGAGAACUCGGGUGAAGGAACUAGGCAAAAUGGUGCCGUAACUUCGGGAGAAGGCACGCUGACACGUAGGUGAAGUGAUUUACUCAUGGAGCUGAAGUCAGUCGAAGAUACCAGCUGGCUGCAACUGUUUAUUAAAAACACAGCACUGUGCAAACACGAAAGUGGACGUAUACGGUGUGACGCCUGCCCGGUGCCGGAAGGUUAAUUGAUGGGGUCAGCGCAAGCGAAGCUCCUGAUCGAAGCCCCGGUAAACGGCGGCCGUAACUAUAACGGUCCUAAGGUAGCGAAAUUCCUUGUCGGGUAAGUUCCGACCUGCACGAAUGGCGUAAUGAUGGCCAGGCUGUCUCCACCCGAGACUCAGUGAAAUUGAACUCGCUGUGAAGAUGCAGUGUACCCGCGGCAAGACGGAAAGACCCCGUGAACCUUUACUAUAGCUUGACACUGAACAUUGAGCCUUGAUGUGUAGGAUAGGUGGGAGGCUUUGAAGCGUGGACGCCAGUCUGCGUGGAGCCGACCUUGAAAUACCACCCUUUAAUGUUUGAUGUUCUAACGUGGACCCGUGA
rnacentral:rRNA from 1 species